rnacentral:rRNA from 1 species
UACAGAGGGGGCAAGCGUUGUUCGGAAUUACUGGGCGUAAAGGGCGCGUAGGCGGCCUUCUAAGUCGAACGUGAAAUCCCUGGGCUCAACCCAGGAACUGCGUCCGAUACUGGAAGGCUUGAAUCCGGGAGAGGGAUGCGGAAUUCCAGGUGUAGCGGUGAAAUGCGUAGAUAUCUGGAGGAAUACCGGUGGCGAAGGCGGCAUCCUGGACCGGCAUUGACGCUGAUGAGCGAAAGCUAGGGGAGCAAACGGG